AGGUAAUUGGCAUUCAGGCCUUCACUGUGGUCUGCAGAAUGAAUUUGAAAUAUUAUCUGAGAUCAUUGUGAAAGCUAUUUGCCAUUUUGCC
rnacentral:pre_miRNA from 1 species